AGAAGUUUAGGAUAGACAAACCGUGGGCCUUCAAAGCCCAAAUCAGGGCCACAGCCCUAACCUCUG
rnacentral:tRNA from 1 species